UUCAUCAUAUUUAGACAAAAACGUUUCAUUCAAUAUACAAAAAACCAAUUAGACAAAAGUAGAAUAAAAGACAAAUAUAAAUAGUAGCAUAAAAUAAUAUCAAAGAUAUUAUAAUAAAACAUAAAAAAAACAUAUGAGAUGAGAGAUUAGAGAAGAUGAAAAAAAGAACAUAAGAGAUGCGAGAUUGAGAAGAAAAGUGCAAUAAAAACGUAAUUGGAAGAGAAAAUAGUAACAUAAAAGAUAAAAAAGAAAGAACAUAAUAGAAGACUUAUUAGAGUAGAAUAGGCGAGACCUACAUGGAAAAGAAGAUGAGAAGAAUGUGUG
rnacentral:lncRNA from 1 species